UACGUAGGGACCAAGCGUUGUUCGGAUUUACUGGGCGUAAAGGGCGCGUAGGCGGCAAUUCAAGUCAGCUGUGAAAUCUCCGGGCUUAACCCGGAAAGGUCAGCCGAUACUGCGGGGCUAGAGUGCAGAAGGGGCAACUGGAAUUCUCGGUGUAGCGGUGAAAUGCGUAGAUAUCGAGAGGAACACCUGCGGCGAAGGCGGGUUGCUGGGCUGACACUGACGCUGAGGCGCGAAAGCGUGGGGAGCAAACAGG
rnacentral:rRNA from 1 species